CUACGGUGCGGCGCCGGAGGCCGAGGGGAAGGCGGUGCACCCCUCGGUGGGCAGCGGCAGCGCCUGGAAGCUGAGCGGGCCCGACCUCGGCCCGCACGUGCCUGGGCGGCCACAGGAAGCUCCAGCGGCGGCCGGCGGCGCGCGGGGACGGCGGGGGACGCGCGCGCCGGGUUGCCGGAGGUCGCCGGGGCCGACUGGAGGGCGGCGCGGCCGAAGCGAGGCGUGGACGCA
rnacentral:lncRNA from 1 species